ACUUGGCAGCCCUCUCUAACCCUGUCUGCGGCUGCGAGCACACACCACACUAGGCACUAGCACACCUCCCCUCUCAGGCUCUCAGCGCCCCGCCGCCGCCACGCAAUUGCCAGUCCUCGCGAUAUGGGCGCGCAAGAGGAGGCAGUGGACGAGAUGCUGCGCGCCGCCGCCGCCGAGGUUUCAACCUCCUCGGUGAAGCGCCGCCUCCGCAUCUUCCACCACACCCUACCUCCUCUCAUCGCGAAGGCCAUAGAGUCACCGUCAGAUACUGUAUUGUUAGUCGAUCUCAUUUUCCAGACAUUGCCAAUAUAUGACGAUCGAGCAUCACGAAAAGCAGUAGACGAUUUGGUUAUUCAGGCUCUUGGUGAACCCACCUUCAUGAAGCCCUUUGCUGCGGUACUUGUACAAUCUAUGGAAAAGAAUCUAAAGGUUACAAACCCCCUUACAAGCUUAAAGCUUCUCAGAUGGUCACACUAUCUUCUGAAAUGGAGUCAGUUUGCCACACUUACAAAAGGCGCCUUUACCAGACUGGCCAAUGCACAAGCAGUCUUAUGUCAAGUCCUUAUGGAUGGGUCCUUCCGUCGGCGCCGGACUUGCAAACAGUUAUUCAUUCAUCUCUUCUCCGAGCACAGUGGAAUAUAUAAGAUGUACAUAGAGGAGCUCAGAGAUUUAAGGAUUUCCAUGAGAGAUUCUCCUGCAUUUUUGAAUCUAAUACUGGAUUUUACCAUUACCUCUCCAUCAUUAUCCACUCAGUACCAGUCAGUAUUCCUUGAUUUGUAUGUCAAAAUCAUCUUGAGUUCAAAAGAUCGGCCACCGAAAGCAGCCACUGAAGCUUUUAAGCCUCUUUUCUUGAACAUUGGGCAUGAGGAUUUUAAGAAUACUAUUAUACCAUCAUGCAUAAAGAUGCUGAAAAGAAAUCCUGAAAUCGUACUACAGUCUAUUGGAUAUCUUCUUAAGACAGUCCAUUUAGACCUAAGCAAGUAUUCCAUGGAGUUUAUGCCAGUUGUUCUGCAUCAAGCUCGGCAUUCAGAUGAAGAGAGGAGGAUUAAUGCUUUGAGUAUUAUAGGAACACUAAGUGAGAAGUCAAGUGAUCCAGAUGCUCUACCUUCCAUGGUCAAUGCUAUCAAAGCUGUUUUAGGAGGCUCAGAAGGAAAACUAUCACUUCUAUACCAGAGAAUUGGAAUGAUAAAUGCUUUAGAGCAGCUAUCAAGAUCUCCUCCAAAGCAAAUAGGCAGACUUGCCCCCUCAGUAUCAACUUUCCUUCUAACGUGUUACAAGGAUGAUGGUAUCGAGGAAGUGAAAUUGGCGAUUCUAUCAGCAAUAGGGUCCUGGGCUUUGGUAUCAGCUGAAGCUGUCCAACCAGAUGUUGUUUCAUUUAUUGCUGCAGGCUUGAAAGAGAAAGACACUUUAAGGAAGGGGCAUCUGAAAUUUUUACGAGUUAUAUGCAAAAACUCUGAGUCUUUAACAAAGGUUGCUUCUUUAUUGGAUCAUUUGAUUCAGUUGUCAAAAACUGGCUUCAGCAAGGCAACACAGCGGUUGGAUGGAAUCUAUGCACUCUUUGCAGUAUCAAGGCUUGCUGCUGUUGAUACAAAAGCAGAUGGUGCCAUUCUGAAGGAGAAACUGUGGACAUUGAUUGCUCAAAAUGAACCCUCAUUGAUCUCUUUACAGUUGCUUCCCAAACUAGCAGAUGAUGAUUGCUUAGCCGUCCUGGAUCUUGUUCAAUCACUGUUUGUAGAACAGUUCUUCAGGGUUCGAGAAUAUUUUUCAAUCCAUUCAUUGCUGCAGCUGCUAAUAUAUCUACUUUGCCAUCCAAGCUGGGAAGUUAGAAAGGUAGCUUACGAUGUUACCAAGAAAAUUUUCUCAAGCUCCAGUGGUCUAGCCGAAGAUAUUCUAUUUUUAUUCACAGACUGGUUGUCACUGGUUGGAGAGAGACUGUCAAUAUUGAAACAAGGUGAUAUGGAUAGCCCUUCGGAUUCUCAGCUACCAUUCUUUCCAUCUACCGAGGUCCUUGUCAAGUGUUUGUUUUUGAUUGCACCUUAUGCUGUUGUGCAUAGUCUGAGAUCAUAUUCUCGAAUUAUUUUGUGCUCCCACCACCCUUGCCUUACCAGCUCCUCAAGCCCAGCUGGCGUAUAUAAGAGGUUGCAAAGAAGGCUUAGACAAGAACAGAUCUUUUUUGUUGACUUAAUUACUCCCAACAUCUCUGUUAUCUGCAAGGAAUUACUUUCACAGGAUGGUCUAUUUAGUUCCAACAAUCAAGUACAGAGUGCAGCAUUAUGUUCGCUAUCAACACUUAUGACAAUUACUCCCAACGACACAUUUCUAGAGUUUGAGAAGCACUUCAUAGGACUCCAGGAGCGCACCUUGCACGAUUCCUUCUCUGAGAGUGAUAUUAAGAUAUUCUAUACUCCAGAGGGGCAGUUGUCAACCGAGCAAGGAGUUUACAUUGCUGAGGCUGUUGCUAACAAAAAUACAAAACUUGCAAAGGGGCGUUUCCGUGCAUAUGAUGAUCAAGAUGCAGAGACAGCUCGGUCUAUUGUCCCUGCAAAGAAUGAGAAGAAAGAAUCCUCAGGCAUUGGCAAGCGAGAAACUGGGAAAUCUACAAAAAGGACUGCUCCUAUAGACAAGGCUAAGACUGCUAAAGAGGAGGCCAGAGAGUUGCUCUUGAAGGAGGAAGCAUCUGUGCGUAUGAAGGUUGGGCAAGUGCAGAAGGAUCUCUCCUUAAUGUUGGAUGCUCUUGGCAAGUUGGCUAUUGCUAAUCCUAUAUUUACUCAUGGUCAACUGCCGUCACUGGUAAACUAUGUUGAACCUUUGCUAAGUUCUCCAAUAGUAAGCGAUGCUGCAUUUUGUACAAUGUUGAGGCUAGCACGUUGCACAGCCCCUCCUCUUUGCAAUUGGGCGCUCGACAUUGCUGCUGCGAUUCGUGUGAUAUCUGUUGGUGAUUUUGAAAUGGUUUUGGAUCUUACACCUGUGAUCAUGGAAGAUGAUAGUAAGAAGCCAUCAUCUGGCAUCUUUGAACAAAUAGUAAAUGGGCUGACUAUUGCGUGCAAAGCGGGUCCUCUUCCAGCAGAUUCAUUUACUUUCGUCUUUCCGAUCAUGGAAAGGAUCCUUCUAUCUUCAAAAAAGACAUGUCUUCAUGAUGAUGUGCUUCACAUACUAUCUAUGCAUAUGGAUCCAAUACUACCACUUCCUCGACCUAGGAUGUUAUCAGUUCUUUAUCAUGUGCUAAGCACUGUUCCUGCCUAUCAACCUUCAGUUGGGCCUAUGCUGAAUGAGCUAUGCCUAGGUCUAAGAGGCCAUGAGUUAGCACAGGCUCUUGUCGGUGUAUAUGCAAAAGAACUGCAUGUUAGGCUUGCCUGCUUAACUGCUAUAAAAUGUGUUCCUGUGCACUCUGUGCAACGAGAUUUGCAGGUGUCAACAAGCCUCUGGAUUGCUGCUCAUGAUCCGGAGAAGGUGGUUGCUGAAUUAGCAGAGGAAUUAUGGGACCGCUUUGGUUUUGAUGCCAUCACUGAUUACUCUGGUAUUUUCAAUGCACUUUCCCAUAAAAAUUACAAUGUUCGUGCUGCAUCUGCUGAGGCUCUGGCUGCGGCAUUGGAUGAAAAUCAAGACAAAAUGCAAGAUGCACUUUCUACCCUUUUCUCUCUGUACAUUCGUGAUAUUGGCACUAGUGUUGAAUUUGGAGAUGCACACUGGCUCGGAAGGCAGGGUAUUGCAUUAGCACUCCACUCUAUCGCUGACGUUUUGGCCUCUAAAGAUCUUCCUGUUGUCAUGACAUUUCUCAUCUCACGCGCCCUGGCUGAUCCAAACGUCGAUGUUCGUGGUAGAAUGAUUAAUGCUGGCAUCCUUAUUAUUGACAGGCAUGGAAAGGAAAAUGUUCCUUUGCUAUUUCCUAUUUUUGAGAGCUACUUGAAUAAAAGGGCAUCAGAUGAGAAAACAUAUGAUCUUGUGAGGGAAGGUGUUGUUAUUUUUACUGGUGCUCUGGCGAAACAUCUAUCAAAGGAUGAUCCCAAAGUUCACAGUGUCAUUGAAAAGUUGUUAGAUGUCCUUAACACCCCAUCAGAGGCAGUUCAACGUGCUGUCUCAGAUUGUUUGUCCCCACUUAUGGUAUCCAAACAGGAAGAGGGUCAGGCUCUUGUUUCUAGACUCUUGGAUCGGAUGAUGAAAUGUGAAAAGUAUGGUGAGCGACGAGGUGCAGCCUUUGGCCUUGCUGGUGUGGUUAAAGGAUUUGGAAUUUCUUCCUUGAAAAAAUAUGGCAUCGCUGUGACAUUGCAGAAAAAUUUGGAAGACAGAAUGUCUGCAAAAUCUCGUGAAGGAGCUUUACUUGGAUUUGAGUGCCUGUGUGAGAAGCUUGGCAAACUAUUUGAGCCGUAUGUCAUUCAAAUGCUUCCGUUCCUACUUGUGUGUUUCUCUGAUCAAGUCCUAGCAGUGCGCGAAGCUGCUGAGUGUGCUGCUCGGGCAAUGAUGUCUCAGCUCACUGGUCCUGGUGUGAAGCUUGUUCUUCCGUCACUUCUUAAGGGUCUAGAAGAUAAAGCAUGGCGUACUAAGCAAAGCAGCGUUCAACUUCUUGGUGCCAUGGCAUAUUGUGCUCCUCAGCAGCUAUCUCAGUGUCUUCCAAAGAUUGUUCCAAAGUUAACAGAGGUACUAACAGACACACAUCCUAAAGUCCAAGCAGCUGGACAGACAGCUCUCCAGGAGGUUGGAAGUGUCAUAAAGAAUCCUGAAAUAUCUGCAUUAGUCCCUAUUCUUCUGUCAGCUCUGAUGGAUCCAAAUGCCCACACUAAACACUCUCUUGACAUCCUCCUUCAGACUACUUUUAUUAACUCCAUAGACGCACCAUCGCUUGCUCUGCUUGUGCCUAUUGUGCAUAGAGGACUGAGGGAGAGGGGUGUUGAAACUAAGAAGAAAGCUGCUCAAAUAGUUGGGAACAUGUCUUCUUUAGUUACAGAACCAAAGGAUAUGAUCCCAUACAUUGGUUUGCUCCUACCAGAAGUUAAGAAGGUUCUUGUGGAUCCUAUACCUGAAGUCAGAGCAGUAGCUGCUCGAGCACUGGGGUCUCUUAUAAGUGGAAUGGGUGAAGAAAUCUUCCCAGAUCUUGUGCCAUGGUUAUUAGAUACUCUGAAAUCAGAUAAUAGUAAUGUCGAACGAUCUGGUGCUGCGCAGGGAUUGAGUGAGGUUUUAGCUGCUCUUAGCCAAGAUUAUUUUGACCAUAUUCUUCCUGACAUCAUCCGAAACUGUUCCCACCAAAAGGCUUCCGUUCGUGAUGGACAUCUUACACUUUUACGGUAUUUGCCAAGAUCUCUUGGCGGUGUUUUCCAGAACUAUCUGCAGGCUGUUCUUCCUGCUAUAUUAGAUGGGCUUGCUGAUGAGAACGAAUCUGUUCGUGAUGCUGCACUUUCUGCUGGUCAUGUCUUUGUGGAGCAUUAUGCAACUACGUCCUUGCCUCUGUUGCUUCCUGCUAUCGAGGAUGGGAUCUUCAGUGAUAAUUGGCGUAUCCGACAAAGUUCUGUUGAACUUCUUGGGGAUCUCUUAUUUAAGGUCGCUGGAACUUCUGGGAAGGCAAUCCUUGAGGGUGGAAGUGAUGAUGAAGGUGCUAGUACAGAGGCUCAGGGGCGUGCUAUUAUUGAAGUACUUGGAAGGGAGAAACGCAACGAAGUUCUUGCUGCCAUUUAUAUGGUUCGUUCUGAUGUCAGCUUGACUGUCCGACAGGCUGCAUUACAUGUCUGGAAGACAAUUGUAGCAAAUACUCCAAGAACUCUGAAAGAGAUAAUGCCAGUACUUAUGGACACACUUAUUGCAUCUCUUGCAUCAUCUUCCUCAGAAAGGCGUCAGGUUGCUGGAAGAUCACUUGGUGAGCUUGUAAGGAAGCUUGGUGAAAGAGUUUUGCCCUCGAUUAUUCCAAUCCUGUCACAAGGACUCAAAGACCCAAGUGCUAGCAGAAGACAAGGAGUUUGCAUUGGUUUGAGUGAGGUCAUGGGCAGUGCAGGAAAACACCAGCUAUUAAGUUUUAUGGAUGAACUUAUUCCUACCAUUCGUACUGCUCUAUGUGACAGCACCCAAGAGGUCCGUGAAUCUGCUGGGUUAGCGUUUAGUACUCUGUACAAGAGUGCUGGACUGCAAGCCAUUGAUGAGAUUGUCCCCACAUUGCUACGAGCUUUGGAAGAUGAUGAUACAUCUGCAACAGCUCUUGACGGUCUAAAGCAGAUUUUAAGUGUCAGAACAGCAGCUGUUUUGCCCCAUAUAUUGCCCAAAUUAGUCCAGCCUCCCCUCUCUUCAUUCAAUGCACAUGCAUUAGGUGCUCUAGCAGAGGUUGCUGGGCCAGGUUUGAAUUCACAUAUCGGAACUGUUCUCCCAGCAUUGAUUCUUGCUAUGGAUGAUGAAGAUGCGGAUGUACAAAACUCAGCCAGGAAAGCUGCUGAAACUGUUCUGUUGGUUAUUGAUGAGGAAGGAGUGGAAACUUUGAUACCUGAGCUUCUAAGAGGGAUCAAUGACAGUCAGGCAUCAAUGAGGCGGGGUUCAGCCUAUCUAAUUGGUUUCCUCUUUAAAAACACUAAAUUAUAUUUGGCUGAUGAGGCUUCUGAUAUGAUGUCAACCCUAAUAAUUUUGUUGAGUGAUACAGACAAGGCUACUGUAUCGGCUGCUUUAGAAGCAUUUUCAAGAGUUGUUGCAUCUGUUCCAAAGGAACAGCUCCCGACGCAUAUAAAACUAGUGCGCGAUGCUGUCUCUACAGCCAGAGAUAAAGAGCGUAGAAGGCGAAAGGGUGUGCCUAUUCUUGUGCCUGGCUUAUGUCUUCCUAAAGCACUGCAGCCUUUUCUUCCUAUAUAUCAGCAGGGUUUAAUUAGUGGGUCGGCCGAGACAAAAGAACAGGCAGCUGAAGGUCUAGGAGAGUUAAUUGACGUAACAAGUGAGAAGACUCUUAAGGAAGUUGUAGUGCCAAUUACAGGACCUCUUAUUCGCAUCCUUGGUGAUCGGUUUCCAUGGCAAGUUAAGUCAGCUAUCCUAUCAACCCUGACAAUCAUCAUCAUGAAAGGUGGAAUUGCACUUAAGCCCUUCCUUCCACAACUUCAAACUACAUUUGUAAAAUGUCUACAGGAUAAUAAUAGGUCUGUCCGGGCGAGGGCUGCAGCUGCUCUGGGAAAGCUUAGUGCUCUCAGCACACGGGUGGAUCCUUUAGUUAGCGAUCUUCUGUCCAUGUUGCAGUCAGGAGAUGAAUCUGUCAAAGAAAGUGUGCUUUCUGCGCUUAAAGGUGUUAUCAAACAUGCUGGUAAAAGUGUCAGCUCUGCAAUAAGGUCACGUGGAUGUGCUCUUCUUGAAGAUCUGCUGCAGGCUGAAGCUGAUGAUGUCCGCAGUUGUGCUGCAAAAGUGAUUGGCACAUUGUCUCAGUACAUGGAGGAGACAGAGAUUUCAGAUUUGGUGCAAAUCCUAUUGAACAUGAGCACUUCAUCAGACUGGUGUACCAGACAUGGUGCUUUGUUAUCGUUCUCAUACAUAUCAAUGCAUUCUCCAUCAAAAUUGUGUCAUUUGGCAUCCUUUCCAUCUCUGGUCGAUCUUUUGAAAGGUUCUCUCAAAGACGACAAGUUCCCUGUUCGUGAAGUUGCUACAAGAACUCUGGGAAAGAUACUCUGUUUUGAGCUACAGCCAGAAGCUGGCACCUUGCAACUUGUUCAGCUGCUUAUCUUGGCCUUGCGUGAUGAUUCAAGUGAAGUUAGGAGAAGAUCUUUGUCGUGUAUCAAAGCUGCUGCAAAGACAAAUCAUUCAGCUCUUGCUACACAUCACUCUAUAUUGGGCCCGGCAAUUGCUGAAGCUUUGAAGGACUCUAGCAUGCCUGUACGUCUAGCUGCGGAACGCUGCGCCCUUCAUGUUUUCCAGUUAACGAAAGGGCCAGAUAAUGUUACAGCAGCACAAAAGUACCUCGGGAUGACUGGCUUGGAAGUGAAGAAAAUCGCAAAGCUUGACGUGGACAGUGAUGGUAGUGAGAGCAGCGAUGAUGACAAGAGGACAUAGACUCUACUCAACAGCAAUCUUUUUUCGGUUCAGUUGUUAUGAUCUUUACAUAUAGUUAGCUACAUUGAUAGCGGAAUGUGGGGUCAUUUUUUCUGUCUGGCCCAUUUUGUGUACAUCCUUUUUGACAACAAACAGGUAAAAGUGACAACGUUUGCAAAUCGACAAACAAUGGACACAAGUUGUAUUGCAACCAAGGACUGAUUCGUUAGUUUGAGCACAGCACAACCACCCAGUUCAACGAUAACGCAUGUCAAUGUAAGCCACGCAUACCAUAUAGUAUCAUAUCGUCGAGUAUUGUUCGUACCACAUCUUCCUCCCAGUUGAUCUCCUUGGGCAAGGUAGGCCCUUCCCUGGACAGCUCGUUGGGCAUCUUGUUGAGCAUGCUCUCUGCUCUGUACCUGAACGCUGGAGUCCACGAACAGACUGCUCUGAGCGGCGUCAAUGUGGAUAGGAAUGUAAUCGGACGUAUAUUACUGGUUCCAUGUUUGUUUUCAUAUUUUCUCAUUGGAUAUUAAUGCAAAUAUUAUCGAGUUGGGCAUCGGAUAUUAAUGCAAAUAUUAUCGAGUUGGGAUUUG